UGUCACAAAUGAUCUCAUUGUUCUUGGAAUUAUUCUGUAGUGGACAUCUUUGUCUUUAAGGAACUUUGACAAGUGAGCAAUCUGUGUUUCCAGAUGCACAUUUGCUGAUGAAGAUAAGUUCUUGUCUGAAAAUGCGUGCACGCACAUAGUGACCAACUAUAUACGUAAGUCAAGUCUGCCCCCUGGAAUCCAGGCUGGAAACACAGUGGGGCCUGGGUGUCCUCAGAUGGUGGGAGAGUGGGGGUCUGCUAUGUUUUCAAGGUUCUGUUUUGGUGUCAGAUUGAGGGAGAUAAACAGUCCAUUAAUUUAGCAGAGCAUCUGGGAUCUUUAAAGCCAGAAAUGGUCUUACAAUUUAUCAGUCUUAAUUUGCUUAUGCUGCAGUUAGACGGAGACGACCCCUGGGAAACACUGACAGAACGCAGGUGUUCUCCAUCCAGCUCAAGCACACACACCAGCAACGGCUGCACAGCCCUCCGCAACCCCAACUUCCUCAGCCUUUUCCUUGUGCUGUGCCAAUAUCCAGGCGGUCUUUAGUAGCAUAAACACACACUAAUUCCCUUAGGCAUCCCCUGGACAGGGUGAAACUUCUAAUCUAACAAACAUUUGUGUUCUUAAUUAGAAGACGGAGGGUGGUCGGCGUUCCGGGCCCUCAGACCCCGGAAGGGCUCUCCUGGGCCAGUGUGGCUGAGGCUGGGGAAGGGCUGGCACUUCGUCACUCUGCCUGAAGGACUUCAGGAGUAUUAAUUUACUGUCAUGGCUCAAAUGGGCCUUUGCUGCCAAGAGGCCAGAGAAGAUGCUGGGCAUGUUCAGAGAUCCCUGCCAGUCAAUUGCUUUUGUCUGCUGGGAAAACC